rnacentral:misc_RNA from 1 species
AAGUCGUAACAAGGUUUCCGUAGGUGAACCUGCGGAAGGAUCAUUACAUUCAGUAGCCUAGCUACUUGUUUAUACCCUUGUUUUUUGCGUACUUAUUGUUUCCUCGGCGGGCUUGCCUGCCGAUUGGACAAAACUAUAACCUUUUUAAAUCUUCAAUCAGCGUCUGAAUUAUACAUAAUAAUUACAACUUUCAACAACGGAUCUCUUGGUUCUG